AUGAUGAAACUUGACAGUUCCGGUUCUGGAUGCUGAUUGGUCAAAAAAAAAACGAAUCGUAUGACCUCAGAAAAAUUAAUAUUACAUAGAUAAUUUUUUUUUUUUUUUUUUCUGUCCUGUAUGAAGCUCGAUAAGCACCACUGUCCAUAUAUGUUUUACGGAAACUAUUUGUAUCAUCAUUCCUCCUUUUAUGUCCAACUGAAAACAACGAUAGAUUAUUUCCAUACGACAUGAGGGUGAGUAACUAAUGACUAUCCCUUUAAUUGUGCAUCACUAGUCAUUUUAGCGUCUGAGGCAGGAAUACACCGAGUGCCUGGAAAAGAGGGUGAAAUGGAAUAGUGGUCCAGACAUAAAUGACCCGUGAGAAUUGAGUUUAGGCACCGCAGAGCCAGCGAUACCAUUACCCAGAAUGCAUUACAGUCCUCUGGAGUCUCUGUGCUGAGAUUUCAGGCAAAAUAAAUGUGUGGAAGCGAUAGCAAGGCCUCCUUAAUUCAGAUACAUACUGUGUGUGUGAUAAGUGUUUGGCGUCCUUAUAAGCACCCAGAUGUUUUUGAGCACAGCGUCGUGAAUAGCUAAUUUGUUGUUGAAGAUUCACAGUUGCCACAUUUCUAAUUUACAGACUGAGACUGUGAAACAAUGGGCUUUUUCAGGCAGCUGUACAGCAUGUUCAUGAUUUUCAAUGUGGUCUCAAAAGUUCUGGACAUCACCCCACUGUAUGUAUAUUUAGUUUUAUAUAAAAACAAUAGCUGUCUAUGGUAUGUAUGUUGACUGAAAUGAGGCUGAUAUUCUUUACACAUUCAUUUCUAAAUUUGCACAGUUAUCCAUAGAGCACAAUAUAUGAAAAUCAUGCAACAAUAAUGUGAGAUUACCAAUAUUAUGACAUACAAAAGCUGCCAAUAAAAAGAAAAUCAAGUUUAAUACGGCUAUUGUACAUUGCCCAUCAACAAAAUAGAAAACAAAGUCUAUCCAAAUUGUUACAAAUUUAUACAAUGAAACAAAUGAUAAGUUUGCAGUCAGAUGCCAAAACUCUGUGAGAGUUAUUGGUUCAUUUAUGUUGUAAUGGAAAUUAUUAUCUUCAGUUUCAUCCUUUAAAAUGUACUGUUAUGUCUUCUAGCUGUAAACCAUUUGUUUAAUAACAUUAGGAGGCAUAGAAGACUUGUAUUUGUGAAAUAAUAUUUCAUCUUUGAAACACUAGGUAAGAUUACAAUUAAAAAAAUAAUACUAAAAAUAGAAAAUCAAUCAAGGCAAAAUAAUGCAGUUCAGUAACUAGAUUAUGUACAAGAGGCACAACCAGUACAUAAAAGUGAUGCACCCAUUAUUAAAAUUAUAAAAUGGUAAACAGUGACCACUGCAGCUUAACAUGCUGUAUGAUAAAUUCAUAUUUGAUUGAUUGAUCUCUGCCCUUACACCAGUAUCAUGCUGGAUUUCUGGCUGUGUUCGGAAUUGCAUACUAGCGUACUACAGCGUGUGGCUCUGUAGUGAUUAGUCACAUGGCAUUUAUGGCUUGAAAUACAAUAAGGCCAUAACUGAGAGCCCAUGAGCAAAGAUGGUGUCAUGCAUGUUGUGUACUUCCAGGGCUGUGUGCGCCUGCUGAGCCAUUGAGAUGAUUGAGAAAUGCUCAUUGAAAGCAGGUAUUCUUAUAGAAUUCAUUGCAAUGGACAUUUUAGCACAAAAUUAGAUUAAAAAUAGUAACUUUUUUAAAUUAAGGCAAGGCACUACAGGUAAAAUGUGUUUCAUUCAACGGUCAAUUAUGAGAUUUUGGGCUAUUUUGCUUCCAAAACAUCCAAAAUGCACAUAAU